AUUGAACGCUGGCGGCAGGCUUAACACAUGCAAGUCGAACGAGUGGCGGACGGGUGAGUAAUGCUUGGGAAUCUGGCUUAUGGAGGGGGAUAACGACGGGAAACUGUCGCUAAUACCGCGUACCAUAGGAUGAGCCCAAGUGGGAUUAGGUAGUUGGUGGGGUAAUGGCCUACCAAGCCGACGAUCUCUAGCUGGUCUGAGAGGAUGACCAGCCCCCCCGGGACUGAGACACGGCCCGGACUCCUCCGACAGGCAGCACUUGUAAAUAUUACGCAAUGAAGGCAACCUGACAGAGCCAUGCCGCGUGAAUGAAGAAUGCCUUCGGGUUUUAACGUUCUUUCGGUGACGAGGCGUUAAUCACAGAAGAAGCACCGGCUAACUCCGUGCCAGCAGCCGCGGUAAUUC
rnacentral:rRNA from 1 species